GGGGUUGUGGCUCAGUGGUAGAGCACUUGCCUAGCAUGUAUGAGGCACUGGGUUCAAUUCUCAGCACCACA
rnacentral:tRNA from 1 species